AGUUUGAUCCUGGCUCAGGAUCAACGCUGGCGGCGUGCCUAAUACAUGCAAGUCGAGCGAACAGAUAAGGAGCUUGCUCCUUUUACGUUAGCGGCGGACGGGUGAGUAACACGUGGGUAACCUACCUAUAAGACUGGGAUAACUUCGGGAAACCGGAGCUAAUACCGGAUAACAUUUGGAACCGCAUGGUUUUAAAGUGAAAGAUGGUUUUGCUAUCACUUAUAGAUGGACCCGCGCCGUAUUAGCUAGUUGGUAAGGUAACGGCUUACCAAGGCGACGAUACGUAGCCGACCUGAGAGGGUGAUCGGCCACACUGGAACUGAGACACGGUCCAGACUCCUACGGGAGGCAGCAGUAGGGAAUCUUCCUGCAAUGGGCGAAAGCCUGACGGAGCAACGCCGCGUGAGUGAUGAAGGGUUUACGGCUCGUAAAACUCUGUUAUUAGGGAAGAACAAAUGUGUAAGUGAACUGUGUCAGCGUGUUGUACGGUACGCUAUACACAAAGACCGG
rnacentral:rRNA from 1 species